rnacentral:rRNA from 1 species
AGUGAACGCUGGCGGUAGGCCUAACACAUGCAAGUCGAACGGCAGCACAGUAAGAGCUUGCUCUUACGGGUGGCGAGUGGCGGACGGGUGAGGAAUACAUCGGAAUCUACUUUUUCGUGGGGGAUAACGGAGGGAAACUUACGCUAAUACCGCAUACGACCUACGGGUGAAAGCAGGGGAUCUUCGUACCUUGCGCGAUUGAAUGAGCCGAUGUCGGAUUAGCUAGUUGGCGGGGUAAAGGCCCACCAAGGCGACGAUCCGUAGCUGGUCUGAGAGGAUGAUCAGCCACACUGGAACUGAGACACGGUCCAGACUCCUACGGGAGGCAGCAGUGGGGAAUAUUGGACAAUGGGCGCAAGCCUGAUCCAGCCAUACCGCGUGGGUGAAGAAGGCCUUCGGGUUGUAAAGCCCUUUUGUUGGGAAAGAAAAGCAGCAGGUUAAUACCCCGCUGUUCUGACGGUACCCAAAGAAUAAGCACCGGCUAACUUCGUG